AAAAAAAAAGGAAAAAGCGAAUGGAAAAAACUUGAACAAA
rnacentral:sRNA from 1 species